rnacentral:lncRNA from 1 species
AGGAGAUGGACGGACCGUUCCCGCUUCCUCUGCUGCCCAGUCAGUUCUGCUGAGGUAUGGGAAACUUGAAGACAGAGUGAAAAGAAAAAAUAGAGAAAGAGAGAGCACCUUCCGAGGAGAUCCCCUGGCUCCGAAGACCCCUACAAUUACCCCGACUCCCCAGGGAGCUCCUUCCCGGUAUAAAGAGUGGAAGCCAGAAGACGAAGUGCUGGAAGGCGAAAACAGCUAAACUGCAAGCGAAUCAGGGAUGAAUUUGCCAUCCAGUCUGCAGUUGAGUCAGAUCCCAUUGUUCCGGAGGGACUUUUUUCUUCUCGAUCAUAGCGCUAUGGUGAGGUCAGAUUUUAACACUGGGGAAGCGGGCCGGGGGAGCAUAGAGCCAUAAGCACCUUCUUGGACCUCUUUGAGCACCUUCCCUGAAAAUGUCAAAUGAGUUCCUGAUAAGGGCUUCCCGCGAUCUUAUGUUUGGAAAAGCGUCUCUCAGGAUGGAGAGAGGCUUCUUCCAAAUGCCAGUCCGAAGCCUUGGCCGAGCGAGAGACAUCUUCAGGACACCCAGGAAAGACAACAGGGAGGGAAAAAAGAAUCACACUCAGUGACACAGCUACAAGGUCAGCAGGAGGAAUGGGACGUGCAGGGAGGCCCAAGCAGAUGCAGGCAAGCCCCAACCCUCCACCCGCACAGGCAGCGCCACGGGCUCCGGCUGUGGCUCCAAGUGCUGAAGACCCUGAUUUAGCAAAGCUGCCCAGAAGCUCACAGGCAGUCCUAUCUCAGGGUCACAGAGCAGACCGCUUCCAUGAUACUUCCUGGCAAACCCUCAAAGAUGACCUGAGGAAGGGAAAUCAGUGCUAGUCUCUUGAUCCUGCUUGAUCAGCCUGGCCCUGUCCAGCCACACUCCACCAUUCAAGCCAGAACCGUCUGUCUUUCUUUCUUUACUUCCUUCUCCAUUCAUUCUUUCAGUCAUUCAUUCAUCUGCAGAUCCCAAUGACACAGGCAGGCCACAGCGUGCACCUGCACAGGCACCAGGCCACCGCCAGAGGGCGCAACUCUGCUUUCAGAACGCGGUGGAUCCGUCGCUUAGCAACUGCGUGGGUCUCAGUGAGGCCCCGGCAACGGUUGAGGCGCAUGCGCAGUGGGAGGGCAGGCUGCCAUUCCAGGGUCCUGGGCUCUGGGAGGGGAGGAAGAGGCCAGGAUGGGAGAGGCAAAAGCAGGAGAAAUGAGGCCUUGGGGGAACCAGGUGGCAGAGGGAUCACCUUGAUCUCCUCCCCAGUCUGGUUUUGGCAGACAGGGCCCAACCUCGAUUCCAAAGAAGGAUGCAAGGACCCGAGCAGAAGGAUUUCAGAGGAGAUUAGACACAGCUGAAGGGAGUGGGAACCCUGUGCCGGACAACACGUGCGGCCUCGAGGAGGAGGAGAGAAUCAUGGAGCAAGCACAGAGAGCAGAAACAUCAAGAUGGGCAUGUAUGGAUUUGGGGUCCAGGAAGGAAAGAUGGAGAGAGAGCCUGAGUGUUUCUGAGGCAGUAUUUCGAGAUUCCAAGACUGACAGGGACCCCAAGCCAUCCUUUGGGCCACAAGAACCACCCCCGCAGGCAUCACCACCAAGAAUAUCCCAUCUGAGAUUGGAAGAGGAAAUGUGCUGAUCGCUACCUCAAGGUCUGAGACAUGUACAGAGAGGGUGAGUUGAAAGAAAAAUGCAGAGAGAGCCCCUUCGAAGGAAUGCUCCCCAACACGAAGACCUUCCACCGACACGCACCCCCCCCCGCCCCAACCCAGGGACCUCCUUCCCAGUCGAAAGACUGGAAGCAGGGACGUGGAGUGUUGGAAGGACAAAACAAAGAGCUAAACUGCAAGUGAAUCAAUCGUGAAUUUGCCAUCCAGUACGCGGAUGAGUCUGUCCACUUGUCCCAAAAUGAUAUUCCUCUUCCUGAUCAUGGCACCAUGGUAAGAUCAAGUCUGAGCGCUGGGGAAGGGGGCUGGGGGAGCAUGGCGCCAUAGCACCUUCUUGGAGCUCUUUGGGCCCCUUCCCUGCGAGUGUCCAAAGAGUUCCCGAUAAGGUCUUCCGGCGUUCUUGGGUUUGCAAAGGUGUCUCUUGGGAUGGAAGGGGCGGUUCUUCCAACUGCUGGUCCGAAGCCUUGGCCAGGUGAGGGGCACCUGCAGGACACCCAGGAAAGACAACAAGGUGGGGAAAAGAAGAAUCAUACUCGGCCGCACGGCUGAACACAGCCACUUGGCCACACAUCCACAAGGUGAGUGGGAGGAAUGGGGAGUGCAGGGAGGCCCGAGCCAUGCAGGCCAGCCCCAUCCCUCUACUCGCAGGGGCAGAUCCGUAGGCCUGGGCUGUGCCUCCAGGCGCUGAAGCCCCUGAUUCAGCAAAACUGCCUGGAACCACACAGGCAGUCCUGUCUCGGGCUCACAGGGCAGACUCUAUCCUCCACUGUCCCAGACGUGCCUUCAAAGAUGACCUGAGGAAGGGAUGUCAGUGCUAGGCUCCUGAUCCACUUGGUCAGCCUGGCCCUAUCCGGCCAGCUCCAUCUUCCAAGCCGGAACCAUCCAUCCUUGCUUCUUUCCUUACGUCCUUCUCCAUUCAUCCUUUCAAUCAUUCAUCUGCAGGUCGCACUGAUGUACGCAGGCCACAGCAUGCGCCUGCACAAGCACCUGGCCAGCGGCAGAGGGUGUGCCCACUCUCUCCGAGCCAGAUGGACCCGUCGUUUAGCAACCGCGUGGCUCGUUGUGAGGCCAUAGGCGCUCGUUGCCACACGCGCGGUUGGAGCGCUGGCUUCCACUCCAGGGCGCUGGGCUCUUGGAGGGGUGAGGGAGAGGCCAGGAUGGCCAAUGGGAGUGGUGAGAGGAGGUGGGGAGGGCGUGCCUACUUUCCUCUCCUCAGGUCCCUGACAACCCAGAUCUCUGGGCGUUGCUGCCGCUGCCGCUGCCAUUUCUCCUUCCUCCGUCGUCCCCUCCAGCACCGCCACUGCCCCAGCUGAUUUCCUACCCGUUCCCCACACCCCCGUGGUUGGGCUGGACUUUCUGCUGAGAGCCCAGCAUGUCAGUCACCACUGAGGUCGCAAAUGUGGACAGGGUGGCUUGGCAAUGGGUCCGACGGGCUGGUGGGGCAGGAUGAAAUCUGGUGAGGUGGGAGUGAGGAAGAUCUCCGAGUCUCGCUCUCAGUGAUGGUCAUGGCAAGUCUCAAUCCAUUGACUCUGAGACGGGUUCCUCCCCUAGAUGUGGGCAGAGGAGGCCCAUUCCCUGGCCACACACCACAGGGGCCCCUGCCUCUGCCGGCGCCUUUCAGGAACCUGUUGAAUCGCCCUCUCCCCCAGCGCCCCUCCACCCUCUCUGCCCUAGACCAUCUUCCCUCAGGAGCUGGGGCAUGACGGGCGCGGACCUGUAUGUGCAGUGUGCUCCUCCCUGGUCAGGCACACACGUUGUCUGGCAGCAUCCUCCUCAGACAGGCAGGAUGCCACUUUCCGGAAAACUUGCAGGACUCAGGGCUCUUUCCUCCAUUGUUGUCUUGGUGAGAGUCUUGGCUUGGGUGGCAGGUACAGCCAGCCUCCUUUGAACAAAGCAUGCAAGCCAUAGGGUGCUCCUUUCCCUCUGCCCCACAUCUGUGCACUCAGGGUGAGGACCAGAGGAUGGUCUUCCUUCGCCCUUAGUCAUGGAUUUCCUCCAAGAUUAGUGUCCUAGGCAGCAGGGAAGCAUGGCUUUCCUUACCCAGGAGAAGAGGGCGAGACCUGCUGAUGGAAGAGCAUGCGUGGUGGGCUCCCUGUUCCUUAGGUGGCCUGCCUAGGGGUGGCCAGACUCCUUUUUCAAGUCUUUUUCAGGCUGCUGACUUGACAAAGCCUUUCUUCCUCCUGGAGUUUAAAAGUUUGGGUCGUGCUAUGAGGACGUGUUUUUUCAAGGAACAAAUGAGGCCUAGGAGGAACCAGGUGGCAGAGGGCUAGCCUUGAUCUCCUCUCCAGUCCGGUGUUGGCAAACAGGUCCAGACUAAGACUUCCAAAGAAUAGAAGCAGUGACCUGAGCAAAAGGGUUUAAGAGGAGGUGAGACACAGCUGAAGGAAAUGGGAACCCUGUGCCCUGAAACACAUGGGCUCUCAAGUAAGAGGAGAGAAUCCUAGAAAAGACUGAGGAGCAAACAGAAGCACAGAGAACAGAAACAUCAAGACAACAUGUGUGGAUUUGGUAUCCAGUAGGGAAAGAUUGAGAGAGAGCUUGAGUGUUUCUGAGGCAGUGUUUGGAGAUUCCAAGAUUGGCACUGACCCCAAACCAUUCUUUGGACCAUAAGAAGAACCCCCGGAGGGGUCAU